AUUAAAGUUAGAUGUGAAAUCCCCGGGCUUAACCUGGGAAUGGCAUUUUUAACUGCUCAGCUAGAGUCUUGUAGAGGGGGGUAGAAUUCCAUGUGUAGCAGUGAAAUGCGUAGAGAUGUGGAGGAAUACCGAUGGCGAAGGCGGCCCCCUGGGACAAAGACUGACGCUCAGAUGCGAAAGCGUGGGGAGCAAACAGGAUUAGAU
rnacentral:rRNA from 1 species